AUGUUGCUGCAAUGGUAAUUGAACUUAGCACAAGAGAAACUGUUCAUUUAAAUAAUAGGAAUUUAGGCCUGUCUGAAUAGACAAUGCCCCAAAGCUAUCACCUGUUGGAUUAUGGCUGAACGCCUCUAAGUCAGAAUCCGUGCUAGAACGCGACAAUUACCGCCUUUUCUGAUAAUUAGUUGAAUACAAAUAGAGCUUCGGCAGCUGAGAUUAAGCCCACUGUUCUACAGAUUUGUCCAAAAGAACAUCUCUCUCUUCAUUGUCUCUUUUUAGUUUUAUUUUCACAAUGGAUGAGGGAAUAUAAUGAGAUAUAUAU
rnacentral:ncRNA from 1 species